UUGAUUAUGAAUGAGUACAUCUAUAUUAAAGUAGUAUUUUCAUAUUUACCAGUGUUGGGGCUUCAGAGAUUUGGUUUUAGUAAUAAUUUAUUUGAUUAUGCAUUGUGAAUAAAUGAAAUAUUUUUAUAUUUUUCUAACUUGGCUAAAGGAAUUUCAGAUUAAGAAGUUUUAAGUACACAAUUAAUAUUUUAGGAAGUAGUUCUUUCUUUUGGGCUGGGAAUUAAAUUCAUUAAACAGGAAAAUAGUAAGAAACAGGAUGUGAUUUAAAAUGAGGUUGAUUUGUGGUUCAAUGACAAAUUAAAAAUGUGGCCUAUUUAACUUGAAAAAUGCACAACCUUUCAUGAUAGUAAAAACAUGAAAUGUAUAUGAUUGCAUGUGAGGCCUUAUAUGUAGUUAAAAGAUAACUCCUUCUGGUCAUUGGUUUCAUUCUUAGUAGUC
rnacentral:lncRNA from 1 species